UAUCCUGUAUUCAAGAUAGUAUAAUGACCCAACUUAUCUUUUUCCUUUAAGCUAUUUCCGACAGAAAAAGUAUUACUACCUCAGCUGGAAAAUCUUUGACACUGAAAGAUGCAAAUGAGGAUAAUUCAACUUCCAUCUUUCCUUAUGGAGAGACAUUUCUCUUCCAGAGACUAGAAAGUUCCAAGAAGCGAUCUAUAAAGAAUGAAUUUUGGGCCCAUGAGGACACAGUUAAAGAGGAAGCAGCCACUUCAAGAAACUCUAUCCUAACCAAGUCAAGCAUAUAUGAUAGCAGGAAGGAAAAAGUGAGUGAAGACAAAGUAGAAGACAUUUGGAUACCCCGUGAAGAUAAAAAUAAUCUUCCACAGGAUUCUGCUUCUGAGUCAGAAUACUCAACAGUUGAGGAGUGCUUCCAGAGUUUAAGAAGAAAAAAUUCCAAAGCAUCUAAGUCUAGGACUCAAAAAGCCUUCUACUUGGACCCUUUUAAUAGGCACAGUUAUCCUCUAAGCUCCACAAGUGAAAAUACUGAUCCAUCAACCAUCGCAAAUGCCAUCUCUCCCUAUGCCUGCUUCUAUGGCUCUUCUGCAGCUAAAGUGAAAUCCGGAUGGCUGGACAAACUCUCUCCUCAAGGGUAUGGAUGGAUACAUUUUAUUUACUAAGUAGCCAUUUUGAUAAAGUCAAACUUAUUCAUUACUAAAAUAGCCAGGUUUCUGUACCCCCAGCAAUCCCCAGGAUGCAUGUUUUUAGAGGGGUUCUCAGUAUGUUUGCAAGUGGAAGUGCAGCACUUCAGUAAGGUUUGGAAUAACAACUUCAGGUUUGGAAUUAUAUUAGUUCAGGUUGAAAUUAAAUUAAAACUUCAAGUUAUGAGUUCCCCUCCAUAUUAUUACUGAUGGUUUCUAACUUGAUAAUAAAAUGUACUUGCCUGGAUUCCACUUCCUGUCAAAACAAACAGCACAGACUGAGUCAUUCCUUAGCUUUCAGUGUUUGCAUUUUGCUCUUAUCAUGACAGUGUUCUGUUUGAGAAUACAGUGCUUAUUGUAGCUACAGAAAUGAGCAUCACUGUUUAAGAUUUAGGUCUUAUUGAUCUAGUAUCCAAAUUUUUAAUGUGCAUAAAUGAUAAGUCAAGGAUUUUUAUAUUAUUUAAAGCAUUUUAAAGACAUUUUAUAUUUGAACAUGAUAUUAUAGAUUGACUUUUUCAUAAUUUGAUUAUGCUGGUUUAGUUUUUAUAUGUUGCUCAGAAAAUCAGAACCCUUAAAUAUAAUGUCAAAACAGAUUUAUCACUUCAGAGGUAAAUAAAUGAAAUUCUUUCCUUUUUGCAUUAUAUAGUAUGGAGAAAUCUUUUGUGGAUAG